rnacentral:rRNA from 1 species
CCUACGGGAGGCAGCAGUGAGGAAUAUUGGUCAAUGGCCGGAAGGCUGAACCAGCCAUGCCGCGUGAAGGUCAGUGCCCUAUGGGCGUUAAACUUCUUUUGUGCGGGAGCAAUAAUGGUCACGUGUGGCCAGACGAGAGUACCGUGCGAAUAAGCAUCGGCUAACUCCGUGCCAGCAGCCGCGGUAAUACGGGGGAUGCAAGCGUUAUCCGGAUUUAUUGGGUUUAAAGGGUGCGUAGGCUGUGAGGUAAGUCAGCGGUGAAAUGCCCCCGCGCAACGGGGUGAAGUGCCAUUGAUACUGCCUGGCUGGAAGGCGGAUGCCGUGGGAGGAAUGUGUGGUGUAGCGGUGAAAUGCAUAGAUAUCACACAGAACACCGAUUGCGAAGGCAUCUCACGAAUCCGCGAUUGACGCUGAUGCACGAAAGCGUGGGUAUCAAACAGGAUUAGAUACCCUUGUAGUC